rnacentral:snRNA from 1 species
AUUCCGGAACCGGGACGU